AUGAACGCUGGCGGCGUGCCUAAUACAUGCAAGUCGAGCGAACGGACGAGAAGCUUGCUUCUCUGAUGUUAGCGGCGGACGGGUGAGUAACACGUGGAUAACCUACCUAUAAGACUGGGAUAACUUCGGGAAACCGGAGCUAAUACCGGAUAAUAUUUUGAACCGCAUGGUUCAAAAGUGAAAGACGGUCUUGCUGUCACUUAUAGAUGGAUCCGCGCUGCAUUAGCUAGUUGGUAAGGUAACGGCUUACCAAGGCAACGAUGUAUAGCCGACCUGAGAGGGUGAUCGGCCACACUGGAACUGAGACACGGUCCAGACUCCUACGGGAGGCAGCAGUAGGGAAUCUUCCGCAAUGGGCGAAAGCCUGACGGAGCAACGCCGCGUGAGUGAUGAAGGUCUUCGGAUCGUAAAACUCUGUUAUUAGGGAAGAACAUAUGUGUAAGUAACUGUGCACAUCUUGACGGUACCUAAUCAGAAAGCCACGGCUAACUACGUG
rnacentral:rRNA from 1 species